UACGGCAGCAUCACGCAUGAGACACCGGUUCUCACGCGAUCACCAAAGUUAAGCAACAUCCAGACUGGUCAGUACUUAGAUGGGUGACUGCUUAGGAAUACCCGGUGUUGUU